AUCAGCUGAGGAGCUUGUUAAAAGUGCAGAUUCUGAUUCCACAAGUCUGUGAUUCUGCAUUUCUAAUAAGAUCUCAGGUGAUGCCGA
rnacentral:pre_miRNA from 1 species